UACGAAGGGUGCAAGCGUUAAUCGGAAUUACUGGGCGUAAAGCGUGCGCAGGCGGUUUUGUAAGACCGAUGUGAAAUCCCCGGGCUUAACCUGGGAACUGCAUUGGUGACUGCAAGGCUUGAGUGUGUCAGAGGGAGGUGGAAUUCCGCGUGUAGCAGUGAAAUGCGUAGAUAUGCGGAGGAACACCGAUGGCGAAGGCAGCCUCCUGGGAUAACACUGACGCUCAUGCACGAAAGCGUGGGGAGCAAACAGG
rnacentral:rRNA from 1 species